CUAAGCGGGAAGCCCACCCUGAGAUAAGGUAGUUGUUCAUGCAUCCACUGUCACACUGGAAUUAAUCGGUGUUGCAGUGGAUGUAUGGACACGAUUUCCUCGAAGAUGACGAGGUUGAUAGGCUUUAGAUGGAAGCGCCGUGAGGCGUGAAGUCGAGAAGUACUAAUAAAUCGAAACAAUCCUUUUC
rnacentral:rRNA from 1 species